rnacentral:tRNA from 1 species
GGGCGAUUAGCUCAGUGGGAGAGCGCUGCAUUCACACUGCAGAAGUCACUGGUUCAAAUCCAGUAUCGCCCA